AUACUAGUGCCUAUCCUAGGAGCA
rnacentral:siRNA from 1 species